UACGUAGGGGGCAAGCGUUGUCCGGAUUUAUUGGGCGUAAAGAGCGUGUAGGCGGCCAUACAGGUCAGCUGUGAAAACUCGAGGCUCAACCUCGAGACGUCGGUUGAAACCGUAAGGCUAGAGUCCGGAAGAGGAGAGUGGAAUUCCCGGUGUAGCGGUGAAAUGCGCAGAUAUCAGGAGGAACACCGGUGGUGUAGACGGCUCUCUGGACCGUAACUGACGCUGAGACACGAAAGCGUGGGUAGCAAACAGG
rnacentral:rRNA from 1 species